UACAGAGGUGGCAAGCGUUGUUCGGAAUUACUGGGCGUAAAGGGCGCGUAGGCGGCCUUCUAAGUCAGACGUGAAAUCCCCAGGCUUAACUUGGGAACUGCGUCUGAUACUGGAAGGCUUGAGUGCGGGAGAGGGAUGUGGAAUUCCAGGUGUAGCGGUGAAAUGCGUAGAUAUCUGGAGGAACACCGGUGGCGAAGGCGGCAUCCUGGACCGACACUGACGCUGAGGCGCGAAAGCCAGGGGAGCAAACGGG
rnacentral:rRNA from 1 species